rnacentral:rRNA from 1 species
GGAUGUCCAGCCACACUGGGACUGAGACACGGCCCAGACUCCCACGGGAGGCAGCAGUAGGGAAUCUUGCGCAAUGAGCGAAAGCUUGACGCAGCGACGCCGCGUGCGGGAUGAAGGCCCUCGGGUCGUAAACCGCUUUCAGCAGGGACGAAAUUGACGGUACCUGCAGAAGAAGGCCCGGCCAACUACGUGCCAGCAGCCGCGGUAAUACGUAGGGGCCAAGCGUUGUCCGGAUUUAUUGGGCGUAAAGAGCUCGUAGGCGGUUCGGUAAGUCGGCGGUGAAAUCUCCACGCUCAACGUGGAGGGGUCCGUCGAUACUGCUGUGACUCGAGUCCGGUAGGGGAGUUGUGGAAUUCCCGGUGUAGCGGUGAAAUGCGCAGAGAUCGGGAGGAACACCCGUAGCGAAGGCGGCACUCUGGGCCGGUACUGACGCUGAGGAGCGAAAGCGUGGGGAGCAAACAGGAUUAGAUACCCUGGUAGUCCACGCCGUAAACGUUGGGCACUAGGUGUGGGGUUCUAUCAACGGACUCCGUGCCGUAGCUAACGCAUUAAGUGCCCCGCCUGGGGAGUAC